rnacentral:rRNA from 1 species
UACGGAGGGUGCAAGCGUUAAUCGGAAUUACUGGGCGUAAAGCGCACGUAGGCGGUUUGUUAAGUCAGAUGUGAAAUCCCCGGGCUCAACCUGGGAACUGCAUUUGAUACUGGCUAGCUUGAGUACGGUAGAGGGGGGUGGAAUUCCGGGUGUAGCGGUGAAAUGCGUAGAGAUGCGGAGGAACACCGGUGGCGAAGGCGGCCCCCUGGACCAAUACUGACGCUCAGGUGCGAAAGCGUGGGGAGCAAACAGG